AUUUUGGCCACAUCUGCGGAGUACCACAGUGGUUUCUUGAAUUUUUUGCUUUUACUGACAAGCCUAAUGCAAUUUUCUGUUGCCUUCAAUAGUGCAACUUUUAAAUAAUCCCAUUUCUCUUGGACUCCAUUUAAAUUGCUCCAGUCUGAUAAUGAAUCCUUUACACAUAUUCUAAUUUUAGAAAAAUCUGUUUUUCUAAAGUCUAAAACUUUUGUUUUUGUGUGGUGUGACUCAGUCACUGUUCUUAUAUUAAACCACACUGACUGAUGAUCACUGGAUCCUAAACUUUCACCUACAGUAACAUCUGAUACCAAAUCUCCAUUU